AGGAUGAACGCUGGCGGUAGGCCUAACACAUGCAAGUCGAACGGCAGCACGGUAAGAGCUUGCUCUUAUGGGUGGCGAGUGGCGGACGGGUGAGGAAUACAUCGGAAUCUACCUUUUGGUGGGGGAUAACGUAGGGAAACUUACGCUAAUACCGCAUACGCCCUUCGGGGGAAAGCCGGGGACCAGCAAUGGCCUGGCGCUGAUAGAUGAGCCGAUGUCGGAUUAGCUAGUUGGUGAGGUAAUGGCUCACCAAGGCGACGAUCCGUAGCUGGUCUGAGAGGAUGAUCAGCCACACUGGAACUGAGACACGGUCCAGACUCCUACGGGAGGCAGCAGUGGGGAAUAUUGGACGAAUGGGCGCGAAGCCUGAUCCAGCCAUACCCGCGUGGGUGAAGAAGGCCGUUCGGUUGUAAA
rnacentral:rRNA from 1 species